UUAGGCCAAUGAGAAUCUGUCCCUAGGCUUUGAUGGAACAAUCGGGAUCUAAUAGUCUCUCUUUUUGCUGGGUCAAUAGAUUAACAGUCUGGAGCUGUUGGUGCCCUUCUUUGUUAGACAUGGGGAAAAUCUUCCUGGGAAUGAAGCCAGCACAGCAAAAAUCAGCUGUGAGAGACAAAGAGAAACAAUGCCCCAAAAACAAACAUGUGCCUUUGGAUCCAGCAUAUUACUCUGGACUGUUCAGUGACAUGCGUAGAGUUGUGUAGCUUAAGCCAGUUUGAGCUGGGUUUUCUGUCACUCUCAUCUAAAGGAUUCUGACACAUACAGAUGAACUGACAUGUCCUAUGGCUAGAAUGGAAUGUGAAUCUUGCUAAUCUCGCUACUUCAGAGAAGGCAUGGGGAGGAGAGGUGGCCGAUUUCACUGUAGUCUUGGUUAUGUCUUCAGCCAGUUGGGACUGCUGGGAGAACCGUGUCAUCUUUCUGAGUCCUAGUGUACUUGUACGUCAAAUGAGAGAGGCGAAGAUCCUUAUACCCAUUGUCAAGAUAGGGGAAAUGGAGUCACCGUGUGACUGUGUAAUAUGCUUGAGUUACUGCUAAUGGCUCUGGGAUCCACAGUGAGUUAGCCACUGCUUUGGAAUACAAAUCUGACAUCCACGACGCCUAACUCCUGCCUUUCCACCAACUGUCACUCAAGUUUCAUCUCAAAAUCUCCAUAUCAAUCCCCAUUUUCAUGUCAUCUCUAUUCACACCUACCCUUGGCAAGAUUUCGUUAGUGUCGUGUGUGAAUUCCACAUGACUGUGGAAGGUGAGCAAAUCACAGAGAUAAGGAAAACAGGGAAAAAGUUUUUUGAGACUCCACUUACAUUCUUUGGACAUUCCCACUUCAAAGCACUUCUGGAGUCGACAGUAUUGGCAUCGAUUCCUGGUGACUUUAUUAAUAACACAGUUCUUAUCUCGGUGACAAGUGUAAAUCAUAUUCUUCUGAAUACUUCUGCGGAAAAAGCCCUGCAAGCAAGCAAGAAGAUGAAAAAACUCAGUAAAGCAAAUGAGCUUCAUCAGAAAUCAAAGCCAACCUUAUCAAUGCAUUAAUUGCUCUUUUUGAGUAACGAAGUGAUGGCAGCAGAAAAGUUAACUUACAUAAACCUUAAAAUCCUCGUGAGAUAUCAAUAGUUUCUUCCUUUGUUGCAAACCCAAAAGCCCCUUUUAAUCAAAACUAGACAUGACCAUUAUUAUCUUGCUAAAGGAAAGUUAAUUCCAAGCUGAUUUACUUGGAAAACACCAGAGUUGGGUUCCCUCCAAACAGGCUUAGCUUCAUAACUGGCUCCCUUGCUGACGAGAACAAUUUCAGAUGAGCGCACUACCAAGAAAACCAAUAUAUGAGGAUUUUUACCCAAUAAAAGAAAUUACUGGCUGGGUGCAGUGGCUCACUCCUGUAAUCCCAGCACUUUGGGAGGCUGAGGCAGGAGGAUCAUUUGAGGUAAGGAGUUUGAGACCAGCCUGGCUAACAUGGUGAAACCCUGUCUCUACUAAAAAAUACAAAAAUUAGCAGGCACAGUUGUGCGUGCCUGUAAUCCCAGCCCUUGGGAGGCUGAGGCAGGAGAAUUGCGUGAACCUGGGAGGCAGAGGUUGCAGUGAGCUGAGAUUGUGCCACCGCACUCCAGUCUGGGUGACAGAGUGAGACUCUGUCUCAACAACAACAACAACCAAAAAAAAAAAAAAAAAAAAAAAAAAACAAGAAAAGAAAGAAAAAGAAAUUAUUUGCCUAAUGCAAGAGUUAGUUUUUUCAAAGGAGUCUUCUCUGAGUUCUUUUACAUAGCUCCUCUCACAACAUUUAAAAUACAAUUUAAAAAAAUUAUCCAAAAUUGGAAACAAGAAAUAAAAAUGAGUGUCUGCCCAUUUAAUGGCAUGUUAGAGCUAUGUCGUCCAACAUGGUAGCUAUUAGUCACAUGAGGCUACUUAAAUCAAAAUUAAUGAAAAGUAAAUAAAAUUAAGAAUUCAGUUCUUUAGUUACAUUAGCUACAUUUCAAAUGCUGAAGAGCCACAUCUGGCCCAUAGCUACCAUAUUAAACACCACAUAUACAAAAUAUUUUCAUCAUUGCAGAAAGCGUUACCGGGUAGUAAUGUACUACAGCACUGACUGACAAGCCCAUCGAAGUGUCAUCUAACACUCACAGGAAAUAUAACUUUGUUUGACUUACUUUUUACUAUUGAUUGGACCCAGAUUCUAUACAGACUGUAGAAAAUUGGUAAAUUACACAUAAUUUUUGUCUAGUGUAGGUGCAAAACAUUUCUGACCAGAUGAACAAUAACCCCAAAUAUUAUUGUUUUAUUGCCCUGUAGGAAAUGAACCAUUUUGUAUCUAGCUUUGCAAUCUUAUUCCGGUAUUCUCUUUUCCUUCCCUCCUUUCUCUCUCGUUUUCUAUCUACCUGAAUAUCUUUCUCAUAUCCUCCUUUAAACCAGCUUUGUCAUCCUACUAUUCCCUUCAUCAAUGAGUUAAAUAAAUUUUUGGCAUGUGUUUACUAAACAAA